rnacentral:miRNA from 1 species
CGCGCGGACAGUCAUCGACUAG